rnacentral:lncRNA from 1 species
GGGGGGGUCAGCCCCCCACCUGGCCAGCCGUGCCGUCCGGGAGGGAGGUGGGGGGGUCAGCCCCCCGCCCGGCCAGCCGCCCCGUCCGGGAGGUGAGGGGCACCUCUGCCCGGCCGCCCCUACUGGGAAGUGAGGAGCCCCUCAGCCCGGCCAGCCACCCCGUCCGGGAGGGAGAUGGGGGGGUCAGCCCCCCCACCCGGCCAGCCGCCCCGUCCGGGAGGGAGGUGGGGGGGUCAGCCCCCCGCCUGGCCAGCCGCCCCGUCUGGGAGGUGAGGGGCCCCUCUGCCCAGCCGCCCCUACUGGGAAGUGAGGAGCCCCUCUGCCCGGCCAGCCGCCCCAUCCGGGAGGGAGGUGGGGGUGUCAGCCCCCCGCCCGGCCAGUCGCCCUGUCCGGGAGGGAGGUGGGGGGGGUCAGCCCCCCUGCCCGGCCAGCCGCCCCGUCCGGGAGGGAGGUGGGGGUGUCAGCCCCCCGCCCGGCCAGCCGCCCUGUCCGGGAGGGAGGUGGGGGGGGUCAGCCCCCCUGCCCGGCCAGCCGCCCCGUCCGGGAGGUGAGGGGUGCCUCUGCCCGGCCGCCCCUACUGGGAAGUGAGGAGCCCCUCUGCCCGGCCAGCCGCCCCGUCCGGGAGGGAGGUUGGGGGGUCAGCCC